rnacentral:lncRNA from 1 species
AAGUAUUCACAUUAUUCCAAUAAUGUCUUACAUUUAUAAAUUUAUGCUCUAUUUUUAGCAAACAAAUGAAUGCUCGUAUAUAAUAUUAAAUUGUUUCAUCAUAUAUAACAUAUAUAUAUAUAUUAAACUCGUAUAAACCAUAAAUCUGAAAUGCUAAAACCUUACAUCGCAACCCUUAAAUCAUUAAGGCUAAAUCGUAAAACAUAAACAUCAAUCCUUAACACAGUAAAUUUCAUUAUCUUAUAAGCCGUAAACUCUAACCCGAUAAUAACGCUGAAAUGUAAACUCUAAACCUUAAACUUCAAUCUCCAAGCCCUAAACCUAAACUCUAAGCCUAGAACACAAAACUGUAAUCUUAAAAUAAUAAAUAUUGUGCCACAAACCCUAAAAUCCCUAACAGUAUACGAUAAAACUUAAAUAUUAAUCCCUAAAACCUAAAAAUUUAUUUCAUUUUUUGCGGCGUUGUAAAGCCCAGAUUUCGCCCGGGCCCAAUUACAAAUAAAAAUAAAAUACCCCAGCCCAAUUAGUAAACCUGACCAGCCCACUACUCAAACCAAACUAACACCUAGCAACCCAACAAAAACCCUAGCCCAACAAUCCCAUAAACCUUAACAAGUUUUCAGCAAAAAAAACCUAGGUGCGCCGCACCUAGGUCUAUCUUCUGCCGCCCUUAGGCCUACCUCCAGUAGCCUCGCACGCCGCUGUUGCCCACUCGCCUAUCACCGGCCAUUCGCAUGUCUGACACCACCUGCAAAGAGCAAUAAACAUGAUAGAGCAAACAAAUAGCAAAUAGGCAAAAAAAAAAAAAA